GGUUUACCUGUGUGACUGCGUACCUUUUGUAUAAUGGGUCAGCGACUUAUAUUCUGUAGCAAGGUUAACCGAAUAGGGGAGCCGCAGGGAAACCGAGUCUUAAUUGGGCGUUAAGUUGCAGGGUAUAGACCCGAAACCCGGUGAUCUAGCCAUGGGCAGGUUGAAGGUUGGGUAACACUAACUGGAGGACCGAACCGACUAAUGUUGAAAAAUUAGCGGAUGACCUGUGGCUGGGGGUGAAAGGCCAAUCAAACCGGGAGAUAGCUGGUUCUCCCCGAAAGCUAUUUAGGUAGCGCCUCGUGAAUUCAUCUCCGGGGGUAGAGCACUGUUUCGGCUAGGGGGCCAUCCCGGCUUACCAACCCGAUGCAAACUGCGAAUACCGGAGAAUGUUAUCACGGGAGACACACGGCGGGUGCUAACGUCCGUCGUGAAGAGGGAAACAACCCAGACCGCCAGCUAAGGUCCCAAAGUCAUGGUUAAGUGGGAAACGAUGUGGGAAGGCCCAGACAGCCAGGAUGUUGGCUUAGAAGCAGCCAUCAUUUAAAGAAAGCGUAAUAGCUCACUGGUCGAGUCGGCCUGCGCGGAAGAUGUAACGGGGCUAAACCAU
rnacentral:rRNA from 1 species